rnacentral:lncRNA from 1 species
ACAUGAAUUUAAACGAAAAGGGGGGUUGGAGCUCCUCUCGGCAUUCAAGUUUCCCUAUCUCUCAGCUUUAAACCUUUUCUAAAUCUACGUGUAAAUGCAUGCAUGGUGUGAAUGAGGAAUUAAAUCGAAUUAGCAAAGGAAGGAGAAGUGAAAAGCUCACCGGUGCCGUCCUCCUUCUCCGGCAACCCAGCAUCUCGAUUCUCCACUAAACUCGAUCACUCUUCUUUAUUCUUCAUCAUGCUUCUACUCGACA